UGAAGAUGCAGAAGGUACUAGAAACCAGGUGGAAAGAUCUGAAGGGGAAGGGAAGGCAGACAGUGGGGAGGACACAGCUGAACUGGAAAGCACAGGCAUUCUGACUCCCACGGGUUCCACACUGGGUGAGGAAAGGAAGCCAUAAGCGUCAUGGAGAAGCAGAGUUCCCUGCGAUGCAUUGAUCAAGAGCUUCAAACGGUGAGCGAACAGAUUUGUGUUGUUUAAAGCCACCAAGUUUGUGACAGUCUGUGACAGCAGCAAUAGGAAAUGGACACGCCUCCUCCCCACAGCAUUGUGACUUUGUCACCACCUCUGUACCUCACUUUCUUCCUCUGGGAAACAAGCUGUAGUUUUCAGGGGCAAGUCCCGAGCUUGGCAUCAGGAACACGCAACUGGACCUGUCCCCAUCCCUGAUUAAGUGAGAAGAUGGCCCCGGACACAGUCCAUAAGAGUGCAAAGGCCUGAGAGCCAAACGAAGAGUCCAGCAUAUUUGCCCACCCCAUGAUACGGAACUCCUGUUUUGUGGUGAUGAUCCAAGAGACAACAAGAGAAACUGAAAAACGCUCCUGGGUUUUCAGGUCUACAUCCUCCAGAUACUCCAGCGUCGCUCGCCGGGACUUGGGCAGAAACACGUCAGUGUUGGCCAGGAGCAGUGCCAAGGCAGCCGCCCCCAGGGCCCCCGCGCCAAUGGACCACAUUCCCAUGGAGAAGCAGCUCAGAUCCUGGAGGAAAGACAUUUCUGGAGAUUGAGAGGAAGGAGAUGUUACUGCUCUCACAUCGUCAUCGAGAGAGCUGGAACCUGGU